UAUCCUCUGUGCAUGUAGCUUUCAUUGAUAUUGGGUAAGAAAUAUAUAAAUAUAUUACUAAGCAAGUUUAAAAUGCAGUUUUGUCUCAUACUAUUGUUACAUAUAACACAAAAAUUUGAGUAAAUUAUAAACAAUAGAUUUUGCAUACAUUGUGUAAUAAAUUGCAUGAAUUUGGCCAUAUAAUAAAACAAGAGCACCGCAUAACGGGUGCCACGCUCAGCUACGGGUGCAGUUUUAAAUAAAUGAAAGCUUGUCAGAUUAUUUUUUUUACAGGUCACAGUGACCUUGACCUUUGACCUAGUGACCCCAAAAUGGGUGUGGCGUGUAGAACUCAUCAAGGUGCAUCUACAUAAUUAUGAAGUUUCAAAGUUGUAGGUGGAAGCACUUUGAUUUUAAAGCCAAUGUUAAGGUUUUAGCACGACACGAACGUCAGACAGCGAGCUGGCUAUGACAAUACCUCGGGUUUUCUCCGAAAACGCCGAGCUAAAAAACACAUCAGUCUGCUAAAUCAUUCAGCACUGAGGGACGGCGCGUGAUAUUGAUUGUAGUCCCAUCCCAUCCAGAAAAAUAUCAUUGCAACUUCAUUACUGCCUAUGGUAAGGGUCGGUGACGGAGAUUUCAAAGCAGUGCCACUCAGCCUUUCUUCCCUCUGUGGCUCCAAGGGGGUUGUCCUCUCUCUCAUAGGCCCCCACGAUGCAGGCCUCAAUGUCACCAAGGGCUGGGGACGCAAACUGGAAGUUAUCCACAUUGCCCCUGAAAAUACAAACAGAUUGUUAUCAGUCAGGAUUGCAUUUUAAACACCUGAAUAUCUAUACUCAAAUAUAAACUAUUUCAUUCAAUGGAAUAUUUGACUACAAAUAUCUGCAUACGUUCUUAUUUAGUACUUGGACAUGUUAGCCAGAAGCUUUGUAGACAUGCUCAAUGGUUUUGUGUAAUUUUUUAGUAAUGAUGAAAGAGAGGAACUAAAGUUGUGAUUUCAGCCCAUACAUUUAUUUUCCUGUGUGUAUAGUAUAUAUAUUUUCUAUUAACAAAGUCAGUUUUUGUUUAAAAAAUACAUUUAAGUUUUCAAAAAAUGUUGGUAAAUACAUCAAUUAACAACAGCUUUAUUAAAAACAGUUGGCCUUCAUUUUUGAUUCAUAUUCAAACUUUGUAUUAUUGUUAAUCAUUUUAUUUAGGCUCUUCCUUUUCAGGAAGAAUUACAGCUAUGAAAAGAUUUAUUGAGAAUGCCAUGUUUAAAAAUAAAGUUAUGUUUGAAUUUAUGCUAACUUAGACAGUUAUAGAAUAUACAUACUUG